AUGGCCAGGAGAAAAAAUUGAAUAGAUUAGAAUUAAAAAUUUUUUAUAACUCUUAUGAAAGUUAUCUCGAUGCACAGUGAAAAGAUGAUCGAGGUUAAUUGAUUUCUGAAGAUCGUUGCUUCACGAGAUUUGAAUGUCUAAAUCUUCUACUUCACUCGCAUGCCAAGUAACGUAGGAGAGAGGGAUGAAAAUCUUCUUCAGAAGGAAAGGAGGAGAGAGCUU
rnacentral:lncRNA from 1 species